GUAGCUGGCUGAGUUAGUCCCUUGUUAAAUCCACCGAAUUAAUCGUUGGAUUGCGGGGGAUACUGCUCGGCUAGGGGACGAGAGAGGCAGACGGUAUUUCCGGGGUAGGGGUGAAAUCCUAUAAUCCCGGGAAGACCACCAGUGGCGAAGGCUGUCUGCUAGAACGCGCCCGACGGUGAGGGAUGAAAGCUGGGGGAGCGAACCGGAUUAGAUACCCGGGUAGUCCCAGCUGUAAACGAUGCAGGCUAGGUGUUUGGACGGCCACGUGCCGUUCUAGUGCCGCA
rnacentral:rRNA from 1 species